GCUGCCUGAGCAGUCAGCUCCAGAAGGGAAGGGGGCGUUGGGCCACUUCCCUCACCCUCUCCAGUCCUCAGCUCCCCUGAGACAGGUCUCGGAGCCCUGGCCUCUCUUGUGGGGAAGGGGGCAGGUGAGGCUGGCUGACUGUGUGGACACUUGCCUGAUCACUUCAAGUCAAGCCACCUGGGCCAGGCUGAUUCCAACCUGACUAGGGAUAAGCUUCACAACAAAUCUACGAAGCAGACAGACGCUGUUUACCUCCUGGAGGCUAUCCAAGACCACACAGCUGGAACCAGGGUUUGCUCUACAGACCAUGGUCUCAGCGACGAUCACUGCUGCCUCCUGGGCAGGGACCACCCGAGGAACUGAGGGUGUCCUUGUUUUUCCUGAAGUGCUCUGACGACCCUUCGACAUUCACAGCAGACAACGCCAGCAGGAAUACUGGAUGAUGGCGUUUGACGGUAUUUGCGGGCUGCCAUUCCCCUGCAUAUCUGUACUGAAUGCUGGAAGCCAAGCUUGCACAUUCUAGGCAGCCAUUUGGAAGAUUCUUCUCUGCGCAUGACCAGCUGAAAAGGAAAAACCCCGAAACAUUGGCACUGUGAUUUCUCCAUGUGAACAGUUUAGUUCGCCGAGGUGGACAUGCCUCAUUCAUGCUUAUGGAGUGACCGACCAGCCUUUAGUGACACCCCCUGAAAUGUGAGUCAUCCAUGGGUCACUAGUCAUUGGAGAAGAGCCCCUUAUACAAAACUUGGAGCUCAGACCACAAACAACAACAACAAUCCAAAAAAUAAAAAAAUGAAAAAUUAGGAGCAGAGACUAAAUGGAAAGAUGGAAAUAUUAAAAUAAAAAUAUUAUUUUAAAAAUUAAUAUGUAUUAAAAUUUU
rnacentral:lncRNA from 10 species